AACGAACGCUGGCGGCAUGCCUAACACAUGCAAGUCGAACGGAACCUUCCGGGCUAGUGGCGCACGUGUGCGUAACGCCUGGUAAGCUGCCCUUAGGUUCGGUAUCACUCACCGAAAGGGGUGCUAAUACAGGUUAAUGUCUUCGGAGCAAAGAUGUAUCGCCUUUGGAUGGGCCCGCGUUGGAUUUGCUAGUGGGUAGGGUAAAAGCCUACCAAGGCGACGAUCCGUAGCUGGUCGGAGAGGAGGAGCAGUCACACUGGGACUGAGACACGGCCCAGACUCCUACGGGAGGCAGCAGAGUGGAAUAUUAGAGAAGGGGGGAAAGCCUGAUCCAGCAAUGCCGGGGGAGUGAUGAAGGGCGUAGGGUUGUAAAGCUCGUAGACCCGGGACGAUAAUGACAGUACCGGGAGAAUAAGCACCGGCUAACUACGUG
rnacentral:rRNA from 1 species